UUAAUUGCAUACACAUCUAUAUAAACAUAUCGAAUUGCAAAUAAAUCCUUACAAAAAUCAACUUUUUAAUUUUAUUCCUGCAAAAGUUCAAUAAUAUUUAUAUUUAUUCCUCUGGUUUGUUACCGUUAGAGCACUAAUUUUUUUUAAUAGCUGAUAAUUAAAAAUAAUAUUUUUGUCCUUAUAAAUAUAUCCUUUCAAAAAUCCUAACAGCUAGAAUUAUACGAAAAUGUCCUCCCAAAAGGUAUUUUAUCUAAUAAUACAAGAGAGGUAAAAAGAUCAAUUUAACUUAUUCACUAACCAAUUAAGUAUUUUACUCGUGAUUAACUAUAUAUGUUUUUCUAACGGAUCCUAACAGUAGGAAUAUAUUCGAUAUGUUUACAGAAAACUGUAUGCAA
rnacentral:lncRNA from 1 species